GGAGGCGGAAACAGGCACGGAAAGCGGUGGAAGUAGCUUCUGACCUUUCUGAACUGUCUGGGACCCUUUGGUGGGGUGGUAGUUUUUGUAUUGGGAAGGGGCGUCGGCGUGUUUCUAAACUCCAGGAAUACCUUCUUCCUCUACGCACUGCUCUGGGCUAAGCUGGAGGCUCUGAGGCCCAGGCACUAGGAAUUAGAACAUAUGCCCAUUGCUUGUAUUUUUCAAUAUUAAUUUUGCAAAACUAGAACUAUAAGGCAAUAGUUGAGUCACAGUGCGGUAACAUCCGUGCCUUUGUAGGGCGCUUCUCAUAAGCUGGAGGCUGUCCGCCUCUGUACUUCAAUAAAUCAAAGUCAGACCAACUAUUACCUAAAAACAUGGCAAAGAAUGUGGCAUAAUGUGCAUUAGAAAUGCUUCCACCAGCUGCAACGCAGAAUUACAAGGUAUUUGUAGGGAAACAAAUUCAGAGCAACCUGUUUGUAAAUGUUACAGCAUUUUCAUCUCCAGUUUUUGACACUGCAGAGUGUGUGGGCAACACCUGGACUAAAGUUUAGGUUUUACUCAUUAACUAGCAGUUAAAUUGAGUUCAUGUGAAAACUUAUGUUUGUGCUGCUUAAAAAAAGAGGGCUUGUAUUGCCCGAGCUUUGAAUUUAAAACGAAAGGGCAAAAUCUGAUUUAAAAAAAAAUACAUGCUUUUAUUUUGGUUCUGUAAGGUUUCUGUACUCCUUGGAAACCAUAUUACUUUGGGAUGCAGUAAUGCAAUAGUUAAGAGGCCAAGCUGUGGGUCAUACUGGCCCAUAUUCCUACCUUUUGCACUUACUAGCAAGUUACCUACUAUCUACCUAGGCUUUUUUCUUUCUAAAAGGGAGAUUGCAUACAUUUCAUAUAUUGUAAGGAAUAAAUGGAAAAAGUAACACAUACAAAGGAUUUGGUGUACUUCCUAGCACAUGGAAGGCAUUUAUGCAACAGUGGGUAUUUUUUUUACCUCAAGAAGCCAUUUUGUGGGAAUUUGAUGCAACAGUAGUUCUGACUUUUUUACCCAUAAAUUCUAGCCAGUUGUAUUUUAGUAUAAUACGUUAUGUUCUCUAAUUUCAAAAA
rnacentral:lncRNA from 1 species